CUGGCCUCAAGUGAUCCUCCCCGCUCAGCCUCCCAAAGUGCUGGGACUACAAGUGUGGGCCACCUCGACUGGCUUAAUAUCAAAGCUUUAAAUAAUGACAGAUAAAUAACAGCGCUGGGCCUAGCCGUAUUGCAGCCCUAGGCAAAAGGACAAAUCAGUACUACUGAUCCUGACUUCAUUUACAGUUUUGAUAUUUUGUUCUUGGAUAUGCUUGCAUUGAUUUUGAAUUUUCAAAAUACGAUUUAUUUUGAAGAACGAUUUUUUGGGCUCUCCCUUGAAUUUCCCACCCCAUGUCAUCCCCUCUCCUGGCUGUGGCGGUGGGGGUGGUGCAUCUGGCAGUGACCGGCUGACCCGGGAGCCAGGGGUGUGGGCAGUUCCGGGGGCCACCCACGCGCGGGGGUGUAGACGCUGCGCCGUCCUGCUUCCCCCUAGCCCUGUCCUCUGGGGACAAUCCUUUGCAGGAGGUCGUUCAUCAGUGUUCCUCAGCCUGCGCCAGGCCAGCCUCCCGCCUUUAAGGCGUGCAUUGUUUUUCAGCCUGGCCCCUGUGAGACCCCAGUGCGUGGCCGGGGAGGGCGCUUCACCCACGCGGCGCGGGAGCAGCGCGGAGCCCGCAGCUGAGGUCCCGCCCGGCGCCCGGUUCCUGCAACUCCAGGCGUGGCCAGCAGGGGGCGGCGUGGGCACGCUCGAGGCCCCGCCUGGGACCCGGGGCAUUUCCUUCCCUCUUCCGCGGCUCUGCCUUCGUGCAAACGACCCUGACCCGGGGACAGCCCGGGUACUGCUCUUUAACCCCCUGCUGCUCAGAUUCUUCACGCAGCCUAAAGAGGCGGCCAAGCCUGUAAGUCUCACUUUGCAGAUGUAGAAGCAGAGGCUCAGCAGGGCAGAUCUCCUCCCGAAGUCCCGGGACCAUCAGGUCCACCUUCCAGUCUCCAGGGGGAGUCCCUGGAGAGCCUAGAACCUGAAUUGUCUGUGUCCCCACCUCCAAGCACAGAUCCAGCACUGAACAGCACCUGCACUGGUUCUGCCCAGUUCCCUGUACUCACCAUUCCAGUCUGGACCCACAUCCCAGGAAGCUAAGUUCCCCCAAGAGCAGCCCCCAGCCAGUGAUGGUGGGAACGGAGGAUAAAUACCCCAGCUCCCUUGCCCCACAGGUGAGAUAACCCUGAGGGUGUCCAGCACCUCUCCUCUGGGGCCCAUGUGGCAGCUGGCCUUGAUGACACCUUGAUUAGCCUCCUCAGUCUCACCUGCCUACUCCUUGGACUUCCUGGGACCACCUCCCCUAUAAACUACCUGCCCUCAAAUCCUCACUUCAGACCAUGCCUCUGUUAAGCAGAGACCCUUGAUACCACUGUGAUGGUGGUGAUGUUAACAUUCAUUGGUGCUGUUUCUUGAGCACUUACUGUAGGCAGACGUUGUGGAAAGGGCUUUGUGGGGUGAACUUCAUCAAAUCCUUGCAACAGCCCCA
rnacentral:lncRNA from 10 species